GCGGUAUGUAUGAACAGACAGUGUAUCUGGUAUACAUGUGGUCGGGUCUCUUAAAGGGACAAUGGAGAUACAAUCCAUGGGACAAUU
rnacentral:ncRNA from 2 species